rnacentral:snRNA from 1 species
GGAUGUGAGAGAAAUUCAGCAGUGAUGUCAACCCAAUUGCCAGGGUUGAUUCAGUUGAUCUAGCUGGCUUGCUGGAUGUCUCCUUUCUCCCUCACCACUCCAUGUGCCACUCCCAAAAUUGUAUGUUUAGUGGCAGAGGAUGACUGUCCCAAAUAGAAAGAGUUUACAUUUCUUCAGCCAAGAGUGUUUUUAAGCCAGGGAGUAUUUUUAAUUUAGGUAAAGAUAGAGGAAGUAUUU